rnacentral:rRNA from 1 species
AGACCAGGAGGUUGAUAGGCCGGAAGUGUACGCACAGCAAUGUGUUCAGCUGACCGGUACUAAUUGGCCGUGAGGCUUGACCGA